AUUGAACGCUGGCGGCAGGCCUAACACAUGCAAGUCGAACGAGUGGCGGACGGGUGAGUAAUGUCUGGGAAACUGCCUGAUGGCGGGGGAUAACUACUGGACACGGUAGCUAAUACCGCAUACCAUCAGAUGUUCCCAGAUGGGAUUAGCUAGUGGGUGGGGUAACGGCUCACCAAGGCGACGAUCCCUAGCUGGUCUGAGAGGAUGACAAGCAACACUGGAAAGGAGACACGGUCCAGACUCCUACGGGAGGAAGCAGUGGGGAAUAGUGCACAAUGGGAGCAAGCCUGAUGCAGCCAUGCCGCGUGUAUGAAGAAGGCCUUCGGGUUGUAAAGUACUGUCAGCGGGGAGGCGUUACCCGCAGAAGAAGCACCGGCUAACUCCGUGCCAGCAGCCGCGGUAAUUC
rnacentral:rRNA from 1 species